rnacentral:rRNA from 1 species
UACAGAGGUCUCGAGCGUUAGGCGGAAUCACUGGGCUUAAAGCGUGUGUAGGCGGGUCGGUAAGUACCUUGUGAAAUCCCACGGCUCAACCGUGGAACUGCUGGGUAUACUGCCGAUCUUGUGCAACCUAGGGGCGAGCGGAACAGAUGGUGGAGCGGUGAAAUGCGUAGAUAUCAUCUGGAACGCCAAGUGGUGAAAACAGCUCGCUGG